rnacentral:lncRNA from 1 species
AGUUUAUGGAGACAUGAAAAAAAAAAAAAAGAAAAAAAGAAACCUUGGCGAGAGGAGAGCAUCAUGGGGAGUUUGAGAAUUAUCCUAAAUUUGAGAAUCUUCCCAUUGAUAAAGAGAUUGACUGGUUUAUACACUGGACGUCACAAAACACAUAUUAACUGAACUUUGCAUUCUUGUGGCUUUCACAAGACUUUCUGUGGGUUGCAGUGGUGAAAGGCAACCCUCUAAUUGUGCAUUCAAGUGGAUUGAUAAGGCUUUGCACUAAUCUCUCUUCAUGAUACUUUUCACAAAAGACCACUUGGUUGCAAAUCCGGUUGUCAGUUCUGCCUGCAGUGCAGAAGAAGAAAUGGCAUCAUGGGAUGCAACCGACUAGCUCAGGAGGGGAGAAGAGAAGCAAAAGGAGGGGGUGGCAACCAAGUCAGAAACAGUAAAGUGACCAGAAAGUAAAUAUUUAGUUGGAAAGUGUCCUAUGGCAGUUUCUCCUAUCAGGGAAAGUCCUGAUUCCAGCUGGAUCUGGUCUUGCCCCAGAUCACCUUUUUCCACAAAACUUUACGCAUCAAGACCUGCAAUUCUGUUUCUCCAAAGCAUUUUUAAACAGUGUGCUUUAAAUUACCAACUGUAUUGCCUCCUAAGUUAUCUUUUUCUUGUGAAUGACUUCUAACUUAAUUCUGUUUCUGCCCAAGAAGGAAGUUUACAAUGUCUUUUCCUUUAAGUUGCUGAGACUUGUUUGAUUAUUUUAUACAAGGUCAGGUUUUAAAACGUCCCAUAUAUUUUAGUAGAGAAAGUGUGGUCUAUAACUCUAGAACCUAUAACUAUCAGGCAUGAUAAUUAUAUGUACCCACCAGAACAAAAUAUUAACUUUAUUGUCCCAUUCUGCUAAUUUUUUUCUGAUUUUCGUUACUUUGAUCUUUAAUUACUAAGAAAAUAAGUGAUAGAUAGCAUGACUUUCUCUUCAAGGUUAUCUUACAUUUUCCUCAUACAUUUAAAAAUCAGCAUACCUGUGUACAUUUACAAGUUUAUAUAUUAUGUACAAAAUAAAUUAGGCUGCAUUUCCCUUCUUUUUUCCCCUUUAUUUUAGGUAUCAUGUGAAAGACAGGGAGUAGAUUUCUUCAAAUGUUGGGUGGGAGUUUGUUACUUCUGUCUAUUUCCAUUUGAGCUAUUUUUCUUUAGCCAAAUUUAAAAAAUUUAACUUUCCAUAAAUUAAUAAACUUCAUUUAGAUUAUUAAAUUCAUUGACUUUUUUGCAUCUUAAAAUAUUUCUUGUCAUGGAUAUCUCUUGACAAUAAUUCAUUUAUACUGUAUUUAUUGAGUCCCUAACGUAUGGAAAUACCAUGUUGAUGCCUUUAUGACAUUUAUAUUCUAUUGGCAAUGAAAGAGGUUAAAAAUAGUUAAACAUAUAACAUAAUACGGUAAGUGGUUUUGAAAGCCACGUAUGCCAGAUGGGAGAAAAGGAACUCAGGAGAGAAGGGCAUGUAGUGUUUUUGUUACUCAACAAAGGAUAUUUGGAAAAGGCUCCUUGAUAACAUAUACUUGUCAAAAGACUUCAGGAAGUGAGGGAGAGAGCCAUCCAAUUAUCUGGACAAUAAGCCUACCUGGCUGAAAGCACUCAGUACAAAGGACUGAGGGUGGGGAGUUUCUGGUGAGUUCAUGGAGCAGCAAGGAGCGCAGUGUUGCUGAGUAAUGAAGUUAAUAAAAGGAGAGCAGCUGGAAGAUUAUGUCAAAGAGACAGACAGUCAGGGGCCAGACUUGAGGGCUGCUUAAAUUAUUGUAAGGCCCUUACUCAAAAUAGCUCUGGUCUGGAUGAUACAUUUUAUUUAAUCUAGCUGUACUAGUUUCUCAGGGCUGCCGUAAUAAAUGUCUGUAAUCUGGGUACCUUAAUACAACAAAACAUAUUGUUUAAUAGCUUGGGAGUCUAGAGUCUGAAAUCAAGAUGUCAGCAGGUUCUGGAGGCUCUGAGGAAGAAACCAUCCCAAGCUUCGCUUUCAGCUUUUGAUGGUUUCUGGAUACCCUUGGAGUUCUUUGCCUCUUCCAGCUCUGUCUCUGCAUGUCCUCUUCUCUUUUUACAAGGACACCAAUCAUUGGAUUAGGGCCCACCCUAUUCAGUGUGACCUCCUUUUAAAUAAUUAUCUCAGUAAGGACCCUACUUCCAAAUAAGAUCACAUUCUACAUGAAGUUGGGGGAGAAGGGAUAUUCAACCACCGCACUAGGCAAAGAUGAAUCAAGUUGAGUUUCCUUCCCAGUGUCUUCUCCAGUCUGCAGGAAAUAUCUACCAUUGCUUGCUGUCAGGGGUAUUACAGCCAGGACCCCUGGCUGUGCUCUCUGCCUGGUCUGCCUUCAGGAAAGUCCAGCCAUGUUAGUCUCUACAAGAGUUUCUAGUUCAAGAUCAAGAACCAAUCCAACCCCAACAAACUACAAGCAGACACAGGUCAGAUUCUUGCCAUACUUUAAUGGCAUUAGGACUCAAAGAUUUCUGUAUCUCAGCCAGUAUUUGGACAUGGGGAGGGGCUGGUCUCUCCUAUUGGAAAGCAUCUCCACUCUGUACAUGGUGAGGUAGGGGCCAGAAGGGAUGCA